rnacentral:rRNA from 1 species
UACGGAGGGUGCAAGCGUUAAUCGGAAUUACUGGGCGUAAAGGGCGCUUAGGCGGUACGUUAGGUCUGCCGUGAAAUCCCCGGGCUCAACCUGGGAAUGGCGGUGGAAACCGGCGCACUAGAGUAUGGGAGAGGGUGAUGGAAUUCCAGGUGUAGCGGUGAAAUGCGUAGAGAUCUGGAGGAACAUCAGUGGCGAAGGUGGUCACCUGGCCCAAUACUGACGAUGAGGCGCGAAAGCGUGGGGAGCAAACAGG